UACGAAGGGGGCUAGCGUUGUUCGGAAUUACUGGGCGUAAAGCGCACGUAGGCGGAUAUUUAAGUCAGGGGUGAAAUCCCGGGGCUCAACCCCGGAACUGCCUUUGAUACUGGGUAUCUUGAGUGUGGUAGAGGUGAGUGGAAUUGCGAGUGUAGAGGUGAAAUUCGUAGAUAUUCGCAAGAACACCAGUGGCGAAGGCGGCUCACUGGCCCGAUACUGACGCUGAGGCACGAAAGCGUGGGGAGCAAACAGG
rnacentral:rRNA from 1 species